AUGGCUCAUUACAACAGCUGUUGUUUCUUGGAUCUUGAUUUACUUGGAUAACUGUGGUAAUUCUAGAGCUAAUACAUGCAACCAAGCUCCGACCUAGCGGGAAGAGCGCAUUUAUUAGACCAAGACCAAUCAGGCUUCGGCCUGGAAUCUGGUGACUCUGAAUAACUUUGCUGAUCACACGGUCCUAGCACCGGUGACAUAUCUUUCAAGUGUCUGCCCUAUCAACUUUCGAUGGUAGUUUAUGUGCCUACCAUGGUUGUAACGGGUAACGGAGAAUAAGGGUUCGACUCCGGAGAGGGAGCCUGAGAAAUGGCUACCACAUCCAAGGAAGGCAGCAGGCGCGCAAAUUACCCACUCUCAGCACGAGGAGGUAGUGACGAAAAAUAACGAGACGGUUCUCUAUGAGGCCCGUCAUCGGAAUGGGUACAAUUCAAACCCUUUAAUGAGGAUCUAUUG
rnacentral:rRNA from 1 species